GGUUACUCAACACUUCACAUACUCAAGUUGCUUUGCAUACUCUUAAUUCAAGUACCGUUUUACGCGAAAGUCGACAUUUGUAGAUGAAGACUCCCGGUUACUAAGUACAAGAAUCAUUGGAGUAGAAGAAUUUUUAUUUAUUUUCUUUUUUCUUUUGUUUUUUGUUUUUCUCUUUUUCUUCAUUUUUUUCAUUUUUCAUCAUUUUUUUUUCUUUUUUUUUUUAUAGCAAAGAGAAUAAUAAUUUUCUAAAAAAAUAAUCAUGAGAAGAGUAUUGCACUUAUUGACC
rnacentral:lncRNA from 1 species